rnacentral:rRNA from 1 species
ACGGAGGGUGCAAGCGUUAUCCGGAAUUACUGGGUUUAAAGGGUGCGUAGGCGGCUUGUUAAGUCAGGAGUGAAAGUUUGCGGCUCAACCGUAAAAUUGCUUUUGAUACUGGCAGGCUGGAAUCAGGAUGAGGUCAGCGGAAUGUGGCAUGUAGCGGUGAAAUGCAUAGAUAUGCCAUAGAACACCAAUUGCGAAGGCAGCUGGCUACACGAAUAUUGACACUGAUGCACGAAAGCGUGGGGAUCAAACAGGA